rnacentral:rRNA from 1 species
UCGAGGGGCAGCGGGGUAGGAAGCUUGCUUUCUGCCGCCGGCGACCGGCGCACGGGUGAGUAACACGUAUGCAACCUGGCCGUGACAGAUGGAUAACCGGGAGAAAUCCCGCCUAAUACAACAUAAUGCCGGGAGGGGACAUCCCCUGCCGGCCAAAGGGGGCGACCCCGGUCACGGAUGGGCAUGCGGCGCAUUAGGUAGUUGGUGGGGCAACGGCCCACCAAGCCGACGAUGCGUAGGGGUUCUGAGAGGAAGGUCCCCCACAUUGGAACUGAGACACGGUCCAAACUCCUACGGGAGGCAGCAGUGAGGAAUAUUGGUCGAUGGCCGGAAGGCUGAACCAGCCAAGUCGCGUGAGGGAAUAAGGCCCUACGGGUCGUAAACCUCUUUUGCCAGGGAGCAAUGCCGUCCACGUGUGGACGGAAGGAGAGUACCUGGAGAAAAAGCAUCGGCUAACUCCGUGCCAGCAGCCGCGGUAAUACGGAGGAUGCGAGCGUUAUCCGGAUUUAUUGGGUUUAAAGGGUGCGCAGGCGGAAUGUCAAGUCAGCGGUAAAAUUUCGGGGCUCAACCCCGUCGUGCCGUUGAAACUGGCGUUCUUGAGUGAGCGAGAAGUAUGCGGAAUGCGUGGUGUAGCGGUGAAAUGCAUAGAUAUCACGCAGAACUCCGAUUGCGAAGGCAGCAUACCGGCGCUCAACUGACGCUCAUGCACGAAAGUGUGGGUAUCGAACAGGAUUAGAUACCCUGGUAGUCCACACAGUAAACGAUGAAUACUAAUUGUUCG